rnacentral:lncRNA from 1 species
AUGCCUAGGCAAAAUGUGAGUCCCAUGAGCCUGCAGGGCCUCCCCAGCUGGCAGCUGCCCUCCUCUCAGCACACCUGGGCCAGGAGUGCACCCCCUUGCACUGCAGGACAGCCAUUGCUCUGGGUCUCUGGGCCCACUUCUCGGUCUCCCUCAUCUCACUGUGACAGCAUCUCCCAGGCUGCUGGGAGGGGUCUAUUAAGCAGAAGUGUUAGGAUGGAUGUAUGGGAUGUCACCCACCCAGGCAGCACGGUUUUCUCCCCUCUGAUCAGACAGACAGGGAGCUUCCAACAGGAGGUCACUUUAACCUGUUGGUUCUCUGGAGGACUUUCGUGCAGUGGCAUAUCAGGAUUUUUUCUUGCAGCACCAGACACGGUGAGCCUCGAGACCCCACUGCCCCUGGAAGGAGCAGAAAUAGUGGCCACGUUUGAGCAGAUGCACUGGAGGGUCUAUGAGGGGAUCCCCCCACAUGUAAGAGGAGAGACAUGGUCUCUGCUGUUGGAGAAGGUGAAGGCAGACAAUCAAGGGAAAUACCAGAUGGUCCCAGUGGGUCUGGAAUUGGCUGAGUUCAUUCAGAUACUGCUGGUUCAGCCUCUCUGAGGAAGGUGCAGUGCGAAAUUCUCUAAGGUCUGAGGUCCCGUGGUGGAGCAGCAGCAAUGUGUCCAAUCCAUAGGUGGGUUCAAUCCCUGGCCUCGCUCUGUGGGGUGAGGUUCAGGUGUUGCUGUGAUGUAGGUCUCUCUGAAGUGGCUCAGAUCCAAUACUGCUGUUGCUGCUACAUGGAUCAUCCACUGAAGCUCCGACUGACCCCUACAUAGACUGGGAACGCCCAUAUGCCACAGGUGCGGCCCUAGAAAGAUACAUACAUAAACAAAAGAAACUGGGUGAGGUUGAUGUCCUCAAAAAUUGUUUAUUCACACACUAGAUGUAUAGACUGUAAAGCCUUGAAUGGGGAGACAGAAAGAGCUGUUGCUUCUUAAUAUUCUAAGGGUGGGGCAAUAACAGAUGAGACCAGGGCUUACAUGUAGGCUUAGAGGAAAGGCCAUGUGAGGACAGAGCCUUAAGGCAGCCAUCCAGAGUCAGGGAAGAGAGGACACCCUCGAAGCCAUCCCUGUUGUUGUCACCUUGAUCUUGGAGGUCCAGCCUCCAGAACUGUGAGAGAAGAAAUGACUGUUGCUUACGUUCCCCAGGCCAUAGUAUUUUGUCAUGGAAACCCUAGCCAAGAAUCUGAAAGUGCCACUGACAAGGAUGAUGGGGAUGAGCACAUAGAAACUGAGGUGGUGCAAAGAGAAGGAGGAAUGAAGCAUCAUCAGGUUUGAUUCAGAACAAUCAUGCCUCUUCCUUACAAUCAUCCGAGGAGGAGCAUUUCCAUAUCCCGGGAUUUUGGAAUAAGUAACACAUCAUUUUUGAAUACGAAAUCUGGAGUCUCAUCCAAAGUAAGUGGUGUCCAUCUUCCACCUAACCUUCCUCUGAGGAAUCUGAGAGCAUUUACCAGAGGAAUUCUGCUCUGCACAAAUGGACAUACUCAACCUCAUUGAGGAGAUCCAAGCUAACCCUCACUCACGGGUGGCAGAACAGUGGCAUCCUCCAUGGGUUGAUGACCUGAAACAGAAAGAAUGGUAGAUCGUUUUGGCACAAACAUGAUGAGUGUAUUGGGGAUCAGCAGGAAUUUCAACUGGAGGCCUGAAACCAUGACCAACCAUAAGCCAUCUCCAUCAAGGCAAGAAAAGGAGACUGCUUGCACAGAGGAUAAGAGACAGUUUGGAGAGGUCAGUCAAUCAAUACAGAGCCCAUGGCUCAUGGCUCUUCAUUGGUGGAACAACUUGCAAGGAAAGAAGGCUGUCUUAUUCUUGUUGGGCUCUGCCAUGCACAGGGCAGAGAAGUGCUUCCUGCGGGUCUCCCAAUUCCAUUCAGUAGAGUUUAGGUUAAUUACUUCUCAUGAGGGGAGAGAUAUGGAUUCAGCCCUCUCAGAAGGGACCUGGUCCUCCUAUCUAGCAGACCAUGUGUUUUCUUCAGGGGGCAUCAGUUUCCAUCUUGGGUCCCAAAGGCGGGAGUGAACUUACUGUUGGAAAGCACGGUGGAGAAGCAUUUGGAACAAGCAACACUGUAUGAAGUGCAACUCCAACCUACCACAAGAUACCACCUCGCACCAGUCAGAAUGGCCAUUAUUCAGAAGUCCACAAAUAGCAAGUGUUGGAGAGGGUGUGGCGAAGAGAGAACCCUUCUGCAGUGCUGCUGGGAAUGUAAGCUGGCACAGCAACUACAGCCAACAGUACAGAGGUACCUUAGAAAUCUACACAUAGAACGAUCAUAUGACCCAUCAGUCCCACUCUUGGGCAUAUAGCCGGACAAAACUUUCCUGAAAAAAAAGACACAUGCCCCCACAUGUUCAUUGCCGCUCUCUUCACAAUAGCCACCACAAGGAAACCACCCAAGUGUCCACCGACAGUUGACUGGAUUAGGAAGAGGUGGUGUGUGUGUAUGUAUAUAUAUAUACAUACACACAAUGGACUACUACUCAGCCACAAAAAUGACAUAAUGCCAUUUGCCGCAACAUGGAUGGAACUAGAGACUCUCACCCUGAGUGAAAUCGGUCAGAAAGAGAAAGACAGAUACGAUAUGACUUCACUCAUAUACAGCACAAAUGAACUGUUCCACAGAAAAGAAAAUCAUAGACAUGGAGACCUGGGGGGAGGGGAAGGGAGUGGGAGGGAUAGGGAGCUUGGGGUUGAAGAAUGCAAACUACUGCUUCUGGAAUGAAGUACCAAUGACAACCUGCUGUGGAGCACUGAGAAUAAUAUCUACACACUUACCUCACAACAUGACAAUGGGAGGAAAAAUUAUGUAUGCAUGUAUGUGUAACUGGGUUCCCAUGUGGUACAGUGGGGGGGGGGGAAAGAAGAUGUAAUCAAAACAAACCUUCAUGGCAACAAAUAAAUAGAACAAAAAUCUCUAUUAACA